GACGAACGCUGGCGGCGUGCCUAAUACAUGCAAGUAGAACGAGCGGCGGACGGGUGAGUAAUGUCUGGGAAACUGCCUGAUGGAGGGGGGUAACUACUGGAAACGGUAGCUAAUACCGCAUACUAUCAGAUGUGACCAGUUGGGAUUAGCUGGUAGGUGGGGUAACGGCGCACCUAGGCGACGAUCCCUAGCUGGUCUGAGAGGCUGACCAGCCACACUGGAACUGAGACACGGUCCAGACUCCUACGGGAGGCAGCAGUGGGGAAUAUUGCGCAAUGGGCGCAAGCCUGACGCAGCCACGCCGCGUGUGUGAAGAAGGUCUUCGGGUUGUAAAGCACUUUCAGCGGGGAAGCGUUACCCGAAGAGGAAGCACCGGCUAACUCCGUGCCAGCAGCCGCGGUAAUUC
rnacentral:rRNA from 1 species